UGGAAGUAUAAAGUCGUAACAAGGUUUCCGUAGGUGAACCUGCGGAAGGAUCAUUACCGAGUGCGGGUUCGACACGAGCCCAACCUCCCACCCGUGUCUACCGUUACCGCGUUGCCUCGGCGGGCCCACUGGGGCCUGGCCCCGGUCGCCGGGGGGCUGCUGCCCCCGGGCCCGCGCCCGCCGAAGCGCCCUGGAACCCUGUNUGAAUAGUGAGUCUGAGUGCAUGAUUGAAUCAUUAAAACUUUCAACAACGGAUCUCUUGGUUCCGGCAUCGAUGAAGAACGCAGCGAAAUGCGAUAAGUAAUGUGAAUUGCAGAAUUCCGUGAAUCAUCGAAUCUUUGAACGCACAUUGCGCCCCCUGGCAUUCCGGGGGGCAUGCCUGUCCGAGCGUCAUUUCUGCCCUCCAGCGCGGCUGGGUGUUGGGCGCUGUCCCCCCGGGGACACGCCCCAAAGGCAGUGGCGGCGCCGCGUCGGGUCCUCGAGCGUAUGGGGCUCUGUCACCCGCUCGGGAGGGACUCGGUCGGCGCUGGUCUUCCCCCCCAGGCGGCCCUUCGGGGCUCGUCUCCUCCGGUUGACCUCGGAUCAGGUAGGGCUACCCGCUGAACUUAAGCAUAUCAAUAAGCAGAGGAACCCCGA
rnacentral:rRNA from 1 species